CUCAACAAUCUCUCUUAAGGCUUAAACAGUACUUCUAAAUGGUGCCCAGUGCACAGUUAAGUAUUCAAAAAUAUGGUGUGUGUAUGUGUUUCACUAUGCAUAUCUGUAUGUAUAUUUUACAUAUUACAUAAGAUUAACUCUGAUAGGCUUGGUUUAUAGAUAUUUAUGGAAAAAACUAUUGUUAUUUGGCAGCGGGAAAUACAAAUUAUUCAGGAAGGAUAGAAGUUUCAUUUUCUAAAGAAAAGAGGAGUUGGAGAUCCAAAAAAUAUAUAUAAUGAGAAGAAAUGGGUAGGGAAGUGGACACUGUAUUUUAAAUACAUGGUCAACCACUGAGAGUUGCUCCACAGAACUUCCUCAUUUAUGUCAUGUUGACUGCUAACAACAUGGAUGGCUUGGAGCUGCCCCCUCCACCCAUGAUCCCAUGAUCAAGUCUCAGAGAGGAAGCAUUCCAUUCGUGCAUGCAUGCAUUUGCUAAAUACUUCCUCAUGAUUUCUUCAGGAUGAAAGCUACAGGAGCGCAGGGGUCAUGCCUAUCUAAUCCAGUGUCCCAGAAGCCUAGAACAGUGACUAGUAUGUGCAGCACCCACUCCAACAACUUGUUGCAAGGAUGCGUCUGUGAUAUUUGGAGAUUUCUGUGUAUGGAGUUGAGCUACCCAAGAGCAAGUGCCUGUGAUGUAGAAGACUGAGAAAGGAACCAUUACUAGAAUCCUUAUCAAAGAGAUACUGUCAGUUGCUGAAUAUCCCACAACCUCUUCUGCCAACAUCCUGCCUGAAAAUUGUUCAACUAUACUCUGCAGACUGGCCAGGUAUUCCAUUGAACCAAUGCAACUGAGAGAACCCUAAACCAAGACACAGAAGACAGACUUGGCUUCUAUUUAUGGGCAAAUUAAUAAUAGAGCCAAAGCAAAGUAGAUAGAAAAUCAUAGCCUAAUGGAUGCCAUUGAUCUAUCCCAGAAUGUGGACUUAUGAUGCAAAAUUUUAAAUUCCUCUAGGUUAUAAACAUUAUCACCUAUUAUUUGGCCCAUACUGGUGAUUAAUUUUGUAUUACCCCUCUUCCAUAGGUAUUAUAGUCACUAAUUUCUUUAAUGCCUAUAUAUAUGUAUGAUAAUACAGAUUCAUGAAUGUAGAUGGGAAUCAAAGAUAAUUAAGAAAUUUUUAUACAUUUGAAGGUUAUCACAAACCUUAUUAUUUAACCAAUUUAGAAUUAUCUUUGAUUUAUGCUAAGCAGGUAAUAAUUUUAUGAAUUAAGGAAUUGAAUUAACCAACAAAAGUAAUAUAAUCAACAAAAGUACAAAAUGAAAAUUUCAUAUAUUUCCUUAAUUUUAAUAGACUGCUCGAACCCAGUCCAUUUUCAUAUACUAAUUUUUCUUUUUUAGGUAAAUUUUGUCAUUCCAGUGUCUUGGCUCUAACACUUACUAGCUAUACAACCUAGUGGAGGCAACCUCACUUUUUAUACUUCAGUUUCUUCAUUUAUAAAUGGAGUAAUUAGAAUACCUACCUUAUAAAAUGUUGUGUAGACUAAGGUAUAUAUAUAUAUAAUUUUAUAUAUGUAAUAUUUACAUUUUUAUGUAUAUAUGUGAUAUGACACAGCACUAAGCUUAUCAAAUAAUAAGACAAUAAAUGUUAGCUAUCCCUAUCAUCAUUAUAUUUAAUGGCAAUUUAUUUAGAGGUAGCUAAAUAUAGAACCAGUAGAGAGAUGAUGGGUAAGACAUGGUAAAGACUUUCUUAGCCCAAAUGUCCUUAAAGUGAAUAUAUGUAUUCUAAUGAUGAAUAUAGGGCCUCACUAUAUUCUAAUAGAGAAUAUAAGUAUUCUAAUGUGAUGUCUUAAGUUGGAUAAGAUGCAUUCUGGACUAGAAGUUAGCAGAGCAAACUAGCUAACUUUCUAGUCAUCAAUUCUCUUAUUCAUGAAAGUUGAUUGGCAUUACUAAUCUCUUUCUGGUCUAAAUUAUGACUGUU
rnacentral:lncRNA from 1 species